rnacentral:rRNA from 1 species
AGUGAACGCUGGCGGUAGGCCUAACACAUGCAAGUCGAACGGCAGCACAGUAAGAGCUUGCUCUUACGGGUGGCGAGUGGCGGAUGGGUGAGGAAUACAUCGGAAUCUACUUUUUCGUGGGGGAUAACGUAGGGAAACUUACGCUAAUACCGCAUACGACCUACGGGUGAAAGCAGGGGAUCUUCAGACCUUGCGCGAUUGAAUGAGCCGAUGUCGGAUUAGCUAGUUGGCGGGGUAAAGGCCCACCAAGGCGACGAUCCGUAGCUGGUCUGAGAGGAUGAUCAGCCACACUGGAACUGAGACACGGUCCAGACUCCUACGGGAGGCAGCAGUGGGGAAUAUUGGACAAUGGGCGCAAGCCUGAUCCAGCCAUACCGCGUGGGUGAAGAAGGCCUUCGGGUUGUAAAGCCCUUUUGUUGGGAAAGAAAAGCAGCAGGUUAAUACCCCGCUGUUCUGACGGUACCCAAAGAAUAAGCACCGGCUAACUUCGUG